AGUCGAGGGGCAGCAUUUCAGGUUUGCUUGCAAACUGGAGAUGGCGACCGGCGCACGGGCUGAGCUAACACGCUAUCCAACCUGCCGAUAACUCGGGGAUAGCCUUUCGAAAGAAAGAUUAAUACCCGAUGGUAUAAUCAGACCGCAUGGUCUUNUUAUUAAAGAAUUUCGGUUAUCGAUGGGGAUGCGUUCCAUUAGGCAGUUGGUGAGGUAACGGCUCACCAAACCUUCNAUGGAUAGGGGUUCUGAGAGGAAGGUCCCCCACAUUGGAACUGAGACACGGUCCAAACUNAUACGGGAGGCAGCAGUGAGGAAUAUUGGUCAAUGGGCGCAGGCCUGAACCAGCCAAGUAGCGUGAAGGAUGACUGCCCUAUGGGUUGUAAACUUCUUUUAUAAGGGAAUAAAGUUUUCCACGUGUGGAAUUUUUGUAUGUACCCAUAUGAAUAAGGAUCGGCUAACUCCGUGCCAGCAGCCGCGGUAAUACGGAGGAUCCGAGCGUUAUCCGGAUUUAUUGGGUUUAAAAGGGAGCGUAGGUGGACAGUUAAGUCAGUUGUGAAAGUUUGCGGCUCAACCGUAAAAUUGCAGUUGAUACUGGCUGUCUUGAGUACAGUAGAGGUGGGCGGAAUUCGUGGUGUAGCGGUGAAAUGCUUAGAUAUCACGAAGAACUCCGAUUGCGAAGGCAGCUCACUGGACUGCAACUGACACUGAUGCUCGAAAGUGUGGGUAUCAAACAGGAUUAGAUACCCUGGUAGUCCACACAGUAAACGAUGAAUACUCGCUGUUUGCGAUAUACAGUAAGCGGCCAAGCGAAAGCAUUAAGUAUUCCACCUGGGGAGUACGCCGGCAACGGUGAAACUCAAAGGAAUUGACGGGGGCCCGCACAAGCGGAGGAACAUGUGGUUUAAUUCGAUGAUACGCGAGGNAACCUUACCCGGGCUUAAAUUGCAUUUGAAUAUUUUGGAAANCAGNNUAGCCGNNAAGGCAAAUGUGAAGGUGCUGCAUGGUUGUCCUCACCUCGUGCCGUGAGGUGUCGGCUUAAGUGCCAUAACGAGCCCAACCCUUAUCUUUAGUUACUAACAGGUCAUGCUGAGGACUCUAGAGAGACUGCCGUCGUAAGAUGUGAGGAAGGUGGGGAUGACGUCAAAUCAGCACGGCCCUUACGUCCGGGGCUACACACGUGUUACAAUGGGGGGUACAGAAGGCAGCUACCUGGUGACAGGAUGCUAAUCCCAAAAGCCUCUCUCAGUUCGGAUCGAAGUCUGCAACCCGACUUCGUGAAGCUGGAUUCGCUAGUAAUCGCGCAUCAGCCAUGGCGCGGUGAAUACGUUGCCCGGGCCUUGUACACACCGCCCGUCAAGCCAUGAAAGCCGGGGGUACCUGAAGUACGUAACCGCAAGGAG
rnacentral:rRNA from 1 species